GCAGCCGCGGUAAUACGUAGGUGGCAAGCGUUGUCCGGAUUUACUGGGUGUAAAGGGAGCGCAGGCGGGAAGGCAAGUCAGCUGUGAAAACUAUGGGCUUAACCCAUAGACUGCAGUUGAAACUGUCUUUCUUGAGUGGAGUAGAGGUAAGCGGAAUUCCGAGUGUAGCGGUGAAAUGCGUAGAGAUUCGGAGGAACACCAGUGGCGAAGGCGGCUUACUGGGCUCUAACUGACGCUGAGGCUCGAAAGUGUGGGGAGCAAACAGGAUUAGAUACCCC
rnacentral:rRNA from 1 species